UACCUGGUUGAUCCUUCUAGUAGUCAUAUGCUUAUUUCAAAGAUUAAGCCAUGCAAGUGUAAGUAUGAACAAAUUCAUUCUGUGAAACUGCGAAUGGCUCAUUAAAUCAGUUAUAGUUUGUUUGAUGCUAUCUACUACUUGAAUAAUAGUGUUAAUUCUCGAGCUAAUGCAUGCCACAAUCCUUGACUUUUGGAAGGGAUGCAAUUAUUAGAUAAAAGGUCGACGCGAGCUCUGCCCAUUGCUGUAAUGAUUCAUGAUAUCUCAAUGGAUCGCACGACCAUCAUGUCGGUGAUACAUCAUUCAAAUUUUUGUCGUAUCAACUUUUGAUGGUAGGAUAGUGGCCUACCGUGGGGGUGAUAGGUGAUGGAGAAUUAGGGUUUGAUUUUAGAGAGAGAGCCUGAGAAACGAAAACCAUAUCUAAGAAAGGUAGAAGGAGCGCAUAUUACCCAAUCCUAACACGAGAGGUAGUGAUAAUUAAUAACAAUACCGGGCUCAAUGAGUCUGGUAAUUGGAAUGAGUACAAUCUAAAUCCCUUAAUGAGGAUCCAUUGGAGGGCAAUUCUGGUGCCAGCAGCCACGGUAAUUCCAGCUCCAAAAGAGUAUAUUUAAUUUGUUGUAGUUAAAAAACUUGUAGUUGUAUUUUGGGAUGGGUCGGUCGAUCGACCUGCUGUGUUCACCGGUCGUCUCCUCCCUUCUAUCGAAGAUGCAUUCCUGGCCUUAACUGGCCAGGUCAUGCCUUCGGUGCUUUUACUUUGAAGAAAUUAGAGUUCUUAAAGCAAGCCUACGCUCUAUAUAUAUUAGCAUGGGAUAACAUUAUAGGAUUUUGGUCUUAUUACGUUGGACUUCAGGAUCAAAGUAAUGAUUAACAGGGAUAGUAAGGGGCAUUCGUAUUUCAUAGUCAGAGGGAAAUUCUUGGAUUAAUGAAAGACGAACAACUACGAAAGCAUUUGCCAAGGAUGUUUUAAUUAAUCAAGAACGAACGUUGGGGGUUUGAAGAUAAUCAGAUAUCAUCCUAGUCUUAACCAUAAACGAUGUUGAUCAGGGAUGCAUACACGCUACACUGAUAUAUUCAACAAGUUUAUAGCCUUGGCUGACAAGCCCGAGUAAUCUUUUAAAUUUCAUCAAGAUGAGGAUAGAUAAUUGCAAUUAUUGGUCAUCAAUGAGGAAUUCCUAGGAAGUGUGAGUCAUCAGCUCACGUUGACUACGUCCCUGCCCUUUGUACACACUGCCUGUAGCUCUUAUCGAUUGAAUAAUCCAAUAAAAUAUUUAGAUCAUGGCGACGUAGUUUGCUCGCUACCCGUAAAUUUGCAAGAAGUUUAUUAAACCUUAUCAUUUAGAGAAAGGAGAAGUCGUAACAAGGUUUCCGUAGGUGAACCUACAGAAAGAUUAUUU
rfam:Capsicum annuum cultivar Zunla-1 chromosome 6, whole genome shotgun sequence